rnacentral:lncRNA from 10 species
GGAGUGGGGUCUGGCGUCCCGGCGACCGUCGCCGUCGUCCUCGUUAGUAUAGUGAUCCAGAAGUUCUACUUCUAACCUAAAAUCCUACACAAUGGUUGCUUUGUAAAACACGUUUCAUAACAUCCUCCACCCUACACGUUUAGAGGUCCUCUAGUACUGAACUAGAGGCUCCUGUACUUUUCCCUCCAGAAACAAAUCCUUUGAGAGCUGCUUUCCUGCAGAACCUCGCAGCCAGCAAGACUUUGCAGAAUGACAAAUAAGAGCAAAUAAAAAGCCCCAUCAUAGGAAGGACUAUGGAAGAAAGGAAAAAGCUUUAUAGUUCACUACUCUUCACAGCACUUUUCUUGCUGCUUUUUUCAGAAGAGGUUGCAUUUUCACUUUGCACUAGACCCGACAAUUUAUGUAGCUGAUGCUGGUACCAGAAGAAUCUGAGCAGGAAACGAAUCUGGUCAAAGCACGUGGUUGGAUUUUCGUGACCCAGUGCUUCCAAAAGGCCAAACCUCACCUCUGCUCCACCUGCCCCCACUCUUGGAUCCAGCAGCCUCACACUUCCCAGGCCUCUGCCCUGACAUCUGCCUCCCUAGAAGGAUGAAGAGCAGUAGCGCCUGGAAUUCCAACCAUCUGCCACAGUCUUGCAUGGCACAGGUGACUACUGCUGAUGUGGUGGAAAUUUCUGAUUUUUUAAUGUUGACUUUGUAGCCAGCAAUCUUAUUGAACUAUUUUAUUCAUUCUAAUAGUUUACUAAUAAUUCUGCUUCAUUUUCUAUGUAGCUAAUCAAAACAAAUGUGCCUCUUUGAGAAACUAUAUAGCACCAAGGUUAAAAGGUGAAAUCUGGAAGCCAUAAAAACUAGUUUCAAAACUGU